AUUGAACGCUGGCGGCAGGCCUAACACAUGCAAGUCGAACGAGUGGCGGACGGGUGAGUAAUGUCUGGGAAAUUGCCCGAUGGAGGGGGAUAACUACUGGAAAAGGUAGCUAAUACCGCAUACCAUCGGAUGUGCCAAGAUGGGAUUAGCUAGUAGGUGGGGUAACGGCUCACCAAGGCGACGAUCCCUAGCUGGUCUGAGAGGAUGACCAGUCACACUGGAACUGAGAAACGGUCCAGACGCCUACGGGAGGCAGCAGUGGGGAAUAUUGCACAAUGGGCGCAAGCCUGAGGCAGCCAUGCGGCGUGUGUGAAGAAGGCCUUCGGGUUGUAAAGUACUUUCAGCGGGGAGGCGUUACUCGCAGAAGAAGCACCGGCUAACUCCGUGCCAGCAGCCGCGGUAAUAC
rnacentral:rRNA from 1 species